GUCGAGAAUCUUUCACAAUGGGGGCAACCCUGAUGGAGCGACGCCGCGUGGAGGAUAAGGUCUUCGGAUUGUAAACUCCUGUCAUGCGUGAACAAGGUUGCUUGGUUAAUACCUGGGCAAAUUGAUGGUAACGCAAGAGGAAGAGACGGCUAACUCUGUGCCAGCAGCCGCGGUAAUACAGAGGUCUCAAGCGUUGUUCGGAAUCACUGGGCGUAAAGGGUGCGUAGGUGGCGUGGUAAGUCAGAUGUGAAAGCCCGGGGCUCAACCUCGGAACUGCAUCCGAUACUGCCAGGCUAGAGUACUGGAGAGGUGACUAGAAUUCUCGGUGUAGCAGUGAAAUGCGUAGAUAUCGAGAGGAAUACCAAAGGCGUAGGCAGGUCACUGGACAGUUACUGACACUGAGGCACGAAGGCCAGGGGAGCGAAAGGGAUUAGAUACCCGUGUAGUCC
rnacentral:rRNA from 1 species